rnacentral:rRNA from 1 species
AUGAUCAGCACCAGGAAGGAUAGAUCUAUUGCAGCUUUCAUCCAGGAGUUAAACCAGCACAUUCGAUGCCACGAGAACCGGAUGUGCAUAGGCAUGAUAGAUCUGAAGAAGGCAAUGACCAGGAUCAUGGAGCUGGAAGAAGAACUCAAGACUACACGCGAUGGAUAUGAGGAGGAAAUGACGAUACUCGUGGAGAAGAAUGAUGAUCUGAAGAAGAAGCUAGCAAUAUUCAUGGGAGACCCCGCGCCAGGAGGAGAUGAUGACGAUUCCACUUCCCCGGAGAACUACAUCAUCAUCGACGACACCGACUCGGACCCCGAUAAUAGUGAUGAUGACUAUGUUGAUGAAGCUGGAGUAGAUAUCAUGGAGUCUUCCACCGAUCAAUUUUUCUAG